GAGAAAAGAUCUUGGAAGCAUGGAGGAGAAAGGAGAGCUUAUGUGCAAGAAGUCAUUUUCGCAACUCUUGGUACAGCUUCACUAAAUCAGCUUCUGUUUCGGAGGAGAAAACUGACCUUGAAGUUGUGUCAGUGAUGCUGAAAGUGGGUACAAGUGUGAUUACGGGUUUGAUGAGGAUAUAGUGGAACUUUGACUUUGGUAGGAGUGCAAUGGCAGCAAAGAACAUGAUCUCAACCUCCAUGUUAGCAAGGUGCAGUUUAGUAGUGUUUGGUCAGUAGCAGGUUUGGACUGAAGACUUGGAAGUGGUGUUGGCUCGAAGACCUCGUUGGUUUUGACAUUCCGCUGUGCAAGAUCCAUUGAAG